rnacentral:rRNA from 1 species
GUGCACCAGGCGAGAAAACUUUACAAUGCGGGAAACCGUGAUAAGGGAACCCCGAGUGCCUGUAUAUGCAGGCUGUCCAGGUGUCUAAAAAACACCUGAAGAAAGGGCCGGGCAAGACCGGUGCCAGCCGCCGCGGUAAUACCAGCGGCUCGAGUGGUGGCCACUUUUAUUGGGCUUAAAGCGUUCGUAGCUGGGUUGUUAAGUCUCUUGGGAAAUCUGACGGCUCAACCGUCAGGCGUCCAAGGGAUACUGGCAAUCUUGGAACCGGGAGAGGUGAGGGGUACUUCGGGGGUAGGAGUGAAAUCCUGUAAUCCUCGAGGGACCACCUGUGGCGAAGGCGCCUCACCAGAACGGCUUCGACAGUGAGGGGCGAAAGCUGGGGGAGCAAACCGGAUUAGAUACCCACGUAGUCC